rnacentral:SRP_RNA from 1 species
GGAAAGUCGGUCGCGGACGGGCACCUUGCCAACCUGGUCAGGUCCGGAAGGAAGCAGCCACCGUGAGUUUCGUCCGGGUCGCGGUCCGGCUUUCCACC